rnacentral:rRNA from 1 species
UGCCAGCAGCCGCGGUAACACGGGGGGCGCAAGCGUUAUUCGGAAUUAUUGGGCGUAAAGGGCGCGCAGGCGGUCUUGUCAGUCAGGUGUGAAAGCCCGGGGCUCAACCUCGGAAGUGCUUUGGAUACUGUCUUUCUUGAGUCCGUGAGAGGAGAGUGGAAUUCAGGGUGUAGCGGUGAAAUGCUUAGAUAUCCUGAGGAACACCAAUGGCGAAAGCAACUCUCUGGCACGUGACUGACGCUGAGGCUCGAAAGCGUGGGUAGCGAACGGGAUUAGAUA